GCAGAGCCGAGCGAAGGGAAGGUCCGGGCCCUGCAAGCGCCGCCGCCGCCGCUUCUCGCUCAGCGCCUCCGGAAGCGCAUUCCUGCUGGCUGCCGUCAGCCUGGGCGGAGCGUGGAGAAUGGAAGGGCCCUGGGGCGGCUGAGAAGAAGCAGCCUCGUGGGAAGGUGGCGGGGGGCGAAAAUAGGGGUUCCAUCAUGGCAAAGUGACAAGCAGACCCAGAACAAGUAGAAGAUGAGGAUGAAGAAGAAGAGUUUGGAUUUAUAGUCUCCUUUUUCUCCUCUUGUUGCCAAGAUGCUUGAGUGAAUGGAGUCUGCGAAUUUGAUUUACAGUUGUUCUUCCAAGAUGUUAAAUUUUUGAAAUAUCGUGGUGGAAAAUAUAAUUCAGAACAAGCAGCACCGAGCAAAUGCUAUAAAUAUGAGGAAAAGCAAAAAAGGUUUGAUUUGACAUGAAUAUUGAGUGUGAUAAGCUUUCAACCCAUUCUGAAGCACGAUUGACAGCAGAUAUAUUCUGUGUUUACCUAGGCAUGGCGAUUUCCUAUUUUUUUGUAUUUUAGUAUGCAACAAUGCCAGACCUAUUCUACUUCCAAGAAAGGAAUGAAAACAUUUACU